UGCACAAUGGGCGGAAGCCUGAUGCAGCGACGCCGCGUGAGGGAUGACGGCCUUCGGGUUGUAAACCUCUUUCAGUAGGGAAGAAGCGUAAGUGACGGUACCUGCAGAAGAAGCGCCGGCUAACUACGUGCACAGCAGCC
rnacentral:rRNA from 1 species